rnacentral:rRNA from 1 species
UACGGGGGGGGCAAGCGUUGUUCGGAAUUACUGGGCGUAAAGGGCUCGUAGGCGGCCAACUAAGUCAUACGUGAAAUCCCUCGGCUUAACCGGGGAACUGCGUCUGAUACUGGAUGGCUUGAGUUCGGGAGAGGGAUGCGGAAUUCCAGGUGUAGCGGUGAAAUGCGUAGAUAUCAGGAGGAACACCAGUGGCGAAGGCGGCUCACUGGCCCGAUACUGACGCUGAGGCACGAAAGCGUGGGGAGCAAACAGG